rnacentral:rRNA from 1 species
CACGUAGGGGCCAAGCGUUGUCCGGAUUUAUUGGGCGUAAAGAGCUCGUAGGCGGUUCAGCAAGUCGGGUGGGAAAACUCUGGGCUCAACCCAGAGACGCCACCCGAUACUGCUGUGACUAGAGUCCGGUAGGGGAGUGGGGAAUUCCUGGUGUAGCGGUGAAAUGCACAGAUAUCAGGAGGAACACCGGUGGCGAAGGCGCCACUCUGGGCCGGCACUGACGCUGAGGAGCGAAAGCGUGGGUAGCAAACAGG